GAAGGGGGCUAGCGUUGUUCGGAAUUACUGGGCGUAAAGCGAGUGUAGGUGGUUGUUCAAGUUGGAUGUGAAAGCCUUGAGCUCAACUCAAGAAAUGCAUUCAGGACUGAGCGACUAGAGGACCGGAGAGGAUAGUGGAAUUCCCAGUGUAGUGGUGAAAUACGUAGAGAUUGGGAAGAACACCAGUGGCGAAGGCGGCUAUCUGGACGGUUUCUGACACUAAGACUCGAAAGCGUGGGGAGCAAACAGGAUUAGAUACCCUGGUAGUCCACGCUGUAAACGAUGGGUGCUAGACGUUGGCGAGCUUGCUCGUCAGUGUCGCAGCUAACGCGUUAAGCACCCCGCCUGGGGAGUACGGCCGCAAGGUUGAA
rnacentral:rRNA from 1 species